UACGUAGGGCGCGAGCGUUGUCCGGAAUUAUUGGGCGUAAAGGGCUCGUAGGCGGUUUGUCGCGUCGGGAGUGAAAUCCACUGGCUUAACUGGUGGCUUGCUUUCGAUACGGGCAGACUGGAGGUAUGCAGGGGAGAACGGAAUUCCUGGUGUAGCGGUGAAAUGCGCAGAUAUCAGGAGGAACACCUAUGGCGAAGGCAGCUCGCUGGGACGUUACUGACGCUGAGACGCGAAAGCGUGGGGAGCAAACAGG
rnacentral:rRNA from 1 species